GACGGCGUCACCUGAUUUGUCAACCGAAUUUUCUCUAAGUUUAUUUAUUUAUUUAUUUCUAUCGUGAGCGCUGGAGUUCAUUCUGUGAGACCACUAGUUUGCUUAUUUAUGGUAUGAAGUCACCGCACAUUAAGUGAAAUGUAUACAACAACUAAAAUAUUUAAUGGAUGUAAUGUUAUUAAGUUUACCACAAAAUGCACAUAAAAUAGUAUUAAUCGUAAAAAUUGACGUAUCUUUGGAUACAAUUAAAUUGUGAAAUAGAUUGAUAAAAUGACGGAAGAUUAUUCUAGAUGCAAAUAAAAGCAGCAACCCUGUAUCUCCACGUGGUGGUGGUAAAGCACCUGUUCGCUAAAUAUAAGCAUCACCUAGGACAUCUGCUCGACUAGAUUGCGCAAUGAAUACGAGGCUAAUACUCUGUCGAUACCAGAUGUACAAACGAGGGAGCUAUGAACUUUGUGAUGAUUUUAUUCUAUAAAUAAUUGUUUAAUGAAAAGAAAACAACUGCUGUUGUGAAAACAAAGUGUUUUUUUAUUUACUUAUUGUAACGGCUACGUAGAGUAUGCUGUGAGAGUCGAAGAUUCAGAACCACUACCAAGUAAAGUGCUAAGUAAUUUCUUGUUAUUGAUAAAAAAAAUAUAUAUAGCAAAUGUGAGAAUUAAAGACGCCUCAAUCCAAUUCCCGUUGUGGCGCCGUGACGAUCGCAUGCCUCUUGGACUAUGCGAAAGCAGUUACCGUAAAUUUCUGGCUUCCACUUUUGAAGGCCGACUUAUACCGAAAUAAAGCCUACGAUUUCUUCCAUGAGCAGUAUUGCAGUAGCAGCAUAGCAUUGCAGUAGGCAGCGGCUUGGCUCUGCUCCUGGCAUUGCUGAAGUCCAUAGGCGACGGUAACCACUUAACAUCAGGUGGGCCGUACGCUCGUCUGCCUACAAAGGCAAUAAAAAAAAAAAAAAAAAAAAAAAAAGAGCGAAGAGUUAGUGGAGCUGCAAUCACGAUGGCUGCUUUCGCAUAGCCCAAGAGAUUCUUCCUUUAAGUUUUUUCGCGAAUCAUAUCACUCAACUAAAGGAAUAACAAAAUCUCAAUCGAACACUGCAAAAGCAUGUAUCUGAAAAUUUAGCUCAUUUAUUCACUAUUACAAUACUACUACUAAACACCUUGUUUUAUAUCUAAUUGCGUAAUGUAUUUCUCGCAUGUAUCGUGAAUUUGUACAAGUAAAUUAUAGAACAGAUGCGAAAAUGUAAAACUCCUAUGGUGGUCCCAUAAUGUAUAGAAUCCGCUAAACCUGUUCUAGGCACAAGUUUGUUUGUUAUUACUGAUAAUGACUCAAUUAGAUUUGCUUCAAUAAUUUCGAAUGUGUGAGGUCUAUGGUUAUACUUUUUUUUAAGUCUGUACAGCGGAAAUCUUGGUGUAAUCUUUUUACUUUGGCACAGUUAUUUUCCAGUGUAAAUUAUAGACAAACUGAGGUGCGAGAAGUUCUAUUUGAUUUAUAAAUGAAAAUGUUUUUAACGAUAGUUUUACAUGUGUUUUUGUACGUAGCUGCCAUGUUUUGCCAUUUUUAGGUUUGAGAAAUCUGAAACAAAACUUUUUGAUUCUAAAAACAAUUUCAUUGAAAUAACGAAAUGCUUUAUUUAAUACGCCGAAUAAAAAUAUUCAAUGAA